rnacentral:tRNA from 1 species
UGCAUCGGCCGAGAAUCGAACCCGGGGUGCCCGCGUGGUAGGCGCGCAUUCUACCACUGAACCAAAAGC